GACGAACGCUGGCGGCGUGCUUAACACAUGCAGGUCGAACGGAAAGGCCUGCUUUCCCUUGUGGAUUGCGGGUACUCGAGUGGCGAACGGGUGAGUAACACGUGAGUGAUCUGCCCCCAACUUGGGUAUAAGCCUGGGAAACUGGGUCUAAUUCCCGAUAGGACUGCAGGGUGGUGCCUGUGGUGGAAAACGAUUUUCUAGUGGUUGGGGAUGAGCUCGCGGCCUAUCAGCUUGUUGGUGGGGUAAUGGCCUACCAAGGCGGCGACGGGUAGCCGGCCUGAGAGGGUGGACGGCCACAUUGGGACUGGGAUACGGCCCCGACUCCUACGGGAGGCAGCGGUGGGGAAUCUUGGACAAUGGGCGGAAGCCUGAUGCAGCGACGCCGCGUGGGGGAUGACGGCCUUCGGGUUGUAAGCUCCUUUCGACCGCGAGGAAGCCACCUGGUUGGAAGGGUGGUGACGGUAGUGGUAGAAGAAGCACCGGCUAACUACGUG
rnacentral:rRNA from 1 species